GAGAGAGACAUGCGCGCAUAUCAAUAAGCGGAGGAAAAGAAACUAACAAGGAUUCCCUUAGUAACGGCGAGUGAAGCGGGAAGAGCUCAAAUUUGAAAUCUUCAAGGUUUUACCUUGACGAAUUGUAGUUUAAAGAAGUGUUUUCUGCUGAAGUUUUGGUAAAAGUUCUUUGGAAUAGGACAUCAUAGAGGGUGAGAAUCCCGUAUUUGACCAUUAUUUUCAGCUUUGUGAUACACUUUCAAAGAGUCGGAUUGUUUGGGAAUGCAGUCCAAAAUGGGUGGUAAAUUUCAUCUAAAGCUAAAUAUUGGCGAGAGACCGAUAAGCGAACAAGUACCGUGAGGGAAAGAUGAAAAGAACUUUGAAAAGAGAGUUAAACAGUACGUGAAAUUGUCAAAAGGGAAGCGUUUGACACCAGUGUUGUUUUCUCGAAAAUCAAUUAAAAAUGGCUCGAUUUUGUAUUGCUUGAGACCUUAAAAGCUCACUGUACAUUUUUCGUGUCUUUUUUAAUGCACUUUUCGUUUAACAAGUCAACAUCAGUUUCUUUUGUUGUAAAAGGGUCAUUGGAAGGUGGCUUUCUUUUCGGAGAAAGUGUUUAUAGCCUUUGGCCUCUGCAAUCGGAGAGACUGAGGUCUGCAGCGUAGACUCUUCGGGGUUAGAUACAUUUGUGCUAAGUUAUAGCUUUUUAUAGACAACUUGUUGACUAUAAUUAGUCUUGUAGCUUACUCGCUUAUGCUAUUUUACCUACGCUUAGGAUGUUGAAGUCAUCGUAUCGCGC
rnacentral:rRNA from 1 species